rnacentral:lncRNA from 1 species
AUGAAUCCCAGUGAGUAAAAUGACUCCCUUUGCUGAUCAUUUUAUCAUCAAUCUUUGAUGUUUUCCAGAUGCUGCCGGCUCCAGAGAGGUUAAUCUGUCUAAAUACAUUAGCUUGUAAAAGGCAAGGCUUUUUUGAGAUUUGAAUCCACAUCUGUCUCUCAACCACCCUCCAUGAGAAAGUGAUGGCCAAGCUCUGUCAGUCCACUUCUCUCUUCAGGGAAGGACCAAUGCAAGGAAACUCGACUGAACCAGACACUCUGGAAAGAGGAAGAGCUGGAACAGCCGAUGGCUCUGGUGGUCAUCCUACAACCAGAAAAGACAGCCCACUGUGCUCUGUCAAAUGACGACUUGGCCACGCCCGGAGAGGAGCAGAGAGUGCAGCCUCCCUCCCUGUCUCCUGGGUGACAAGGUCUCCGGAUGACCCCACCAACAAUGAGAUGAAAAUGAAGAGCCCUGCAGCAUAAUGAGUGUGAUAAAAAUAGGAACUUGCUGAGUAAAGGGCAGGCCACAGUGGAGGCGUGGGAGGAGGGGGAACCCUGCCCGGAGCAGGUGGACCGGGCCUCCCGGCCUGACACCCUACUCUGUCUCUGUGACUCAGACAGAUCAAGGCUGGUAGAGGGGGUGGCAGGGAAGCCAGAGAGGGACUGAAGAGUGGGCUUACUUGAAUGUCCCAAGCAGACUCUGUCCUGGUCACUGUGACUCUGACCUCCACAGGGGGUGGACAAGGUGUGGCCAAAACACGCUGAUGGGGGUUGGGAAAUUCCUGCCCAUGUCUUGAACCUCUUGCCUGCCAAUAAGCGUCAGAAAAUGCAUUAAGAGUUAAUGUGUCAAUUUUUCUUAAAACACUGUGCCUUUUGUCUGUAGUAUAGAGUGGAAGAAGCCUGCUAACUGUGCCUCCUUCCCUUCUUCUUUCCCUUCCUUUCUUCUCUCUUCAGUUGGCAGCUUGGAGUGUCUGCCAGCAGAGGCAGCCGCUCCUACAGAAGGAAGGCUCUAGGUGAGCAGUGACAGCUGUCUGUGAUGCCUUCUAGCACCUUGCCCCUCUACAGUCUUGCUUUUUUAAGUUAUCUUCUAAAAAAUUAAAAUUU